rnacentral:rRNA from 1 species
UGGGGAAUAUUGCACAAUGGGGGGAACCCUGAUGCAGCAAUGCCGCGUGGGUGAAGAAGUACCCCGGUAUGUAAAGCCCUGUCGACAGGGAAGAAAAUGACGGUACCUGGAUAAGAAGCCCCGGCUAACUACGUGCCAGCAGCCGCGGUAAUACGUAGGGGGCGAGCGUUAUCCGGAUUUACUGGGUGUAAAGGGAGCGCAGGCGGUGUGGCAAGUCAGAUGUGAAAACCCGGGGCCCAACCCCGGGACUGCAUUUGAAACUGCCAUGCUGGAGUGCCGGAGAGGCAAGUGGAAUUCCUAGUGUAGCGGUGAAAUGCGUAGAUAUUAGGAGGAACACCAGUGGCGGAGGCGGCUUGCUGGACGGUAACUGACGCUGAGGCUCGAAAGCGUGGGGAGCAAACAGG